AGGUUUAGAAUGUUCCUGUCCUGAAUACUGAUUUCUAACAAGUUGGAAAUGUAGACCUGACAAUGUCGCGGAACACUCGCAGUUUGAAUGUGUGCUCAGACAUAUAUUCUGUUAAUAAUCUCAAUUGAAUUCAUACAAAGGAGAGAAGAAUAGAUAAAACUUCAUCACUCUUAUUUUCUUGGCUCAAAAAUAAUUUAAAAUUUCCCAAAUUGGCUCCCACUAAUGGAAAAUACAAAUAUGUGAGGCUAGUGAUGCUGAGUGCUUGCCAUGAACAUUCAAGAACAUGAACAUUUUACUGUACUUGGAUCCAAGUGGCAUAUCUGGAAAUAAGGUCCCUUGGGGGCUGGUGGCAGUCCUCUGCUUCUUCUCACAUGGACAUGUGCAUGGCUUACUUUUUCAGAUAAAAUUAUCCUGUUGUGGUAGCCAUGGAGAUGCAACACUUGGAGUGCCCUUCAAGAUAGAAAUUCCUGAUUAGCUGGGAAGAAUGCAGUUUGCUGACUGGCUCCAUCCUUCCGGGUGGACAAUAGAAAUCUUGAAUGCUUAUGGUAUGGGUGACCGUAAAAGAACAAAUUCAAUGUCUAAGGAGGCUUUUACACCAGAACAACUCCAUCUUGAAAAGGAGCUGGGUGAAAUGAGGCUGAGACCUACUGUGCUGCAUUCCCAGACGGAUCACCAAGGAUUCAGACCGAUACCAAUGAUGCAAUAAAGACAUCAUUUUUCCUCCAGGAAAAAAAGAGAAAUAUGGGUUUAGUCACCAAGGAAGAAGGCAGUAAAUAGCUUUGAACACUCACAUUUACACUCUAAUAUAUCUGUGUAAAGGAUAUGAAGGAUAUAAAUAAUUUAGAAAUUGUGGGGGAAGUAGGUAUCUCUAAUAUUGAAUAAAAAGAAAAUAAAUGACCAGAUCAAAUACCUAUGUUGACUUCUAUUAACACACUGUAAAGAUUUCCUCACAUGUUUUAACUAUAGGGCUGAGAUAGUUAAGAACAAACCUUUAACUUUGAGAGAGGUAUUGCCAAAUUGUAAUUUCGGAAGAAUUAAAAUCCUUACCUGCUGCCAUAAACAAAAGUCAGAUAAAGCUAGGUAAGGAAAAUUGUGAAGAAACUUAACUGUUGGAAUUUGAACAACUGGAGUUUUCUCAUGCCCUAUCCAAUACUGAGCCUUCCUUGUUCACUGAAGUCCCUUCACUUUUGUAUAUUGAGACUCUUCCUUCCCUGCUUAAAAAUGUUGCUAUUUUCUUGCCCCAGGGAAUUUUGUUGCAAAAACAAUACUGUUUCACUUAUACUUCUUUCACUGUUUUCACAAUUAUAAAUAGUCUGGUCCAAGUAUAUCCUAAAGAGCACAAAGAAAAUAAACAAAUGAACAAACAGAAAAAAAACUAAGUCUUCCUCAUUUAAAAAAUAAUAUCAAUUAUCCAGUUGCAUGUAAGAUAUGAAAAUUCUCUAUCAAUGUUAGAGGACAAU
rnacentral:lncRNA from 1 species